GCCCUCGUGGAUCAGCUGGUAUAAAUCGCUCCGCACAGAUAGUAAACCACAUUAUCAUCCUAUCGGAGAGCCGCGGGUUCGAUCCCGCCGAGGGCA